GGACCUACGGGAGGCAGCAGUGGGGAAUAUUGGGCAAUGGGCGCAAGCCUGACCCAGCAACGCCGCGUGAAGGAAGAAGGCUUUCGGGUUGUAAACUUCUUUUAAGAGGGAAGAGCAGAAGACGGUACCUCUUGAAUAGGCCACGGCUAACUACGUGCCAGCAGCCGCGGUAAUACGUAGGUGGCAAGCGUUGUCCGGAUUUACUGGGUGUAAAGGGCGUGUAGCCGGGCUGACAAGUCAGAUGUGAAAUCCGGGGGCUCAACCCCCGAACUGCAUUUGAAACUGUUGGUCUUGAGUAUCGGAGG
rnacentral:rRNA from 1 species